rnacentral:rRNA from 1 species
GAUGAACGCUGGCGGCGUGCCUAAUACAUGCAAGUCGAGCGAACAGAUGAGGAGCUUGCUCCUCUGACGUUAGCGGCGGACGGGUGAGUAACACGUGGAUAACCUACCUAUAAGACUGGGAUAACUUCGGGAAACCGGAGCUAAUACCGGAUAAUCUAUUGAACCGCAUGGUUCAAUAGUGAAAGACGGUUUUGCUGUCACUUAUAGAUGGAUCCGCGCCGCAUUAGCUAGUUGGUAAGGUAACGGCUUACCAAGGGAACGAUGCGUAGCCGACCUGAGAGGGGGAUCGCCCACACUGGAACGGAGACACGGUCCAGACUCCUACGGGAGGCAGCAGUAGGGAAUCUUCCGCAAUGGGCGAAAGCCUGACGGAGCAACGCCGCGUGAGUGAUGAAGGUCUUCGGAUCGUAAAACUCUGUUAUUAGGGAAGAACAAAUGUGUAAGUAACUAUGCACGUCUUGACGGUACCUAAUCAGAAAGCCACGGCUAACUACGUG